rnacentral:rRNA from 1 species
UACGGGGGGGGCAAGCGUUGUUCGGAAUUACUGGGCGUAAAGGGCUCGUAGGCGGCCAACUAAGUCAGACGUGAAAUCCCUCGGCUUAACCGGGGAACUGCGUCUGAUACUGGAUGGCUUGAAUCCGGGAGAGGGAUGCGGAAUUCCAGGUGUAGCGGUGAAAUGCGUAGAUAUCUGGAGGAACACCGGUGGCGAAGGCGGCAUCCUGGGCCGGCAUUGACGCUGAGGCGCGAAAGCCAGGGGAGCAAACGGG